GCUCGCACCUUGACGGUACCUAACCAGAAAGCCACGGCUAACUACGUGCCAGCAGCCGCGGUAAUACGUAGGUGGCAAGCGUUGUCCGGAAUUAUUGGGCGUAAAGGGCUCGCAGGCGGUUUCUUAAGUCUGAUGUGAAAGCCCCCGGCUCAACCGGGGAGGGUCAUUGGAAACUGGGAAACUUGAGUGCAGAAGAGGAGAGUGGAAUUCCACGUGUAGCGGUGAAAUGCGUAGAGAUGUGGAGGAACACCAGUGGCGAAGGCGACUCUCUGGUCUGUAACUGACGCUGAGGAGCGAAAGCGUGGGGAGCGAACAGGAUUAGAUACCCUGGUAGUCCACGCCGUAAACGAUGAGUGCUAAGUGUUAGGGGGUUUCCGCCCCUUAGUGCUGCAGCUAACGCAUUAAGCACUCCGCCUGGGGAGUACGGUCGCAAGACUGAAACUCAAAGGAAUUGACGGGGGCCCGCACAAGCGGUGGAGCAUGUGGUUUAAUUCGAAGCAACGCGAAGAACCUUACCAGGUCUUGACAUCCUCUGA
rnacentral:rRNA from 1 species